ACUGCGCCUCUGCCACUCCUUGGCGCGGUGACCCGGGCCGGAGCCCGCUUGGUGGAGCAGCCCAUCCGCGUGGGGCGCUGCCGGGCUGGUUGCUGCGGCCUCAAGCGGACAGCGAGAGGGGCGCACCCGGCCUGAGUACGGCUGGAGCUGGGGCCGCAGACCCAGGACCAGGAGCUGGACAGCGCCCUAGCCGGGGAAGGUGAUCUGAGUGCGAGGCUGGCUGUUGCUGGGGCUGUCAGGCAGGCGUGGCAAGUGAUACCACUUAGCUGUUCAAAAAAAAAAUCGCGAAAACAGCCCAAACUAUAGGGUGCUGAAGGCCAUCUUGUUACCUACGUCUUUUGAAAAUCAAAUCUUUCAGAAAGGUGGGCAGAUCCAGUGACAGAUGACAACGGUCUGGGCGUCUGUUUACAGAACAAAUGCUUUGAAAAUACCUUCCAAUUCGAUCCCUUAGAUCUCCCAUGGAUGGAGAAAAGGAUCUAACAGGUGGACUUUCGAACCUGCUACCGUAUUUCCUAAACAGACUAAGGGCUGGGGGAAGGCCAGCAAACAUACACCUCCCCUUAGUCCCCACCCGCAGCCCAGACUGCUUCUUCCAAUCCGCUCCAGUUUUCUCAGGCAGCAGGUAACUCCCUAGAGAUCGUCCAAAGGGCUCCUCCCAGUUCUUCCGUCCUAGCAUGGCAACUCCAUGGUAGCUAACACCUCCCAUUUCUUCUCAGCCGGCCCAAAUUCUCGUUUCUUCUUGCACAGUGCGACCAGGGCCACCACAUAACUCCAUCACUGUGAGGGAUUGUAUCAGGGCUUGUUUAAACCCCUAGGGCCUCCAAUUGCGCUAGAGGAAACCCAGGCUUCUUGUCACCAUCACACUGACUUGGACCCGUGUGCCUGCUGUAGGAAUACUCUUCAUGCCUAGGCUGUUCUCCUACUCCAGGGACAGCCUCUGCCGGCAGGGGUCUGCUCCUGAGUAUUUGAAGUGGAGAGAUGUGGAAAUGGACAGGGGGUUCUGAACAUUCCCAUCCUAAGAGAGACCUUCCGACUUUAUGAUUGCCCAGAGGCACCUGCACCACCUGCUUCUGAGAGAGGAGCUGGUGUCUGUUGGGCUGCACUCCACUCUGCUCAGCAUUGCUCAAAUCCUGAAGCCCUGAGUCAUGAUCCUGGUGCCAGCUAGCCAGCCAGCCAGCCAGGGAGAGUGUGAUGUUCCCCCUCGCCUUGAUUGUCUCCACCCCAGGCCACAGAGUAGGCUGGGUACCUGGUAAAUGGACCCAUCCUGCCGGCCUCACUCAGCUGUCCACCCUCUGGCAUAGCAGUCUUCUUCCUGGGAGGACAAGAGGAACUACCCCCAGCUCUUCCCUUAUUGGAAAAUACUAGGUUUGCAUCCAAGGAAUGGGCCUGGUAACAUGGCUCUUCUUCAGCUUAAUGAAAUCACAUCUGUCUGCUGAAGCUAGAGGAUACUCUGUACCCAACCAAAGAGACCUAUGGAGAAACAGACUGUUCCCAAGGCACUACCCUGUGUACCAGCCCUUCUUGUAAGCAAUUGGAGACUCUUAACUCUGCUGUUCUCAACUGUUGUUCAGAUGAUUACAUAAUUUACAGAUAAUAGUGUGGAAACUGGAUGGGGCUUUAAGCAUAUCCACUCUAAGGCAGAUUCUAGGCUCUAAGGAGGUCACCAGUGUAAUGCUCACUUCCUCUUCUGGUCACCAAGAUAUAGACACCCACAUAUCUGUUGAGCACCUGGGAAGCAUCUGAAAAGUUUAGGUGUCCCAGUCAGUGAGGGCUGGUGGUCCGGAACAUGUGGAGCGCUGGAAGAGUAGGGAGCAGCCCUGUAGAGACCCAAGGAAAGAACACUUCAAGAAAAUGAGCAGAAAACUCAAAGCCCAGAUAUAAUACAGGAAACAGAAGGCUGUGGCUGGAGGCCAAGAAGAGCUGGGUUUGCAGGCCCAGGGACUUUUGGGAAGGGAUGUCAUGGUUGUUGGGAUACAAAUGGCUGAGACCCCACUGGGCUUGUCUGCUUGAUGUGGAUGGGUGACCCAAAAGAUGUCUAGUGACAUCCAGAGAAGUCAGUAUCAGGGAUGGUAGACAGAGCCCAAAGUCUAGCCACUGAGCAGAAAAGGUGAUAGGGACAGGGGUUCUAGUUACUCCAUCCUCUCUGUUUGGAAUCAAGCUGAGACACACCAAGGAGCAGGUAAACAAGACUGUGGACAAAUCUAGGCCUGUGUCUUGGACUUUGAAUGGCAGGGCUUGCAGAAGGCCACGUGUGCAACGAACUUCAUACAUGGUGGAGCCCGCUGGGAUUAUGGCCACCCAUAGAGCUCUUACCUGCUCUCCAGGGCAGUGACCAGAGUCAAGACAUUUACACUCAUGAGUGAUGAACAGCUUUCUGUGCAUAUGGCCCUGUGUUUCUCAAAGCUCCCUGACACAUCCUACCUGCUGAAUUUCAUUCUUUGACAGUUCUCAUUCUUGAGCCAGCAACGAGGAUCCUCCCAAGCUCCAAAGUUACCAGCAUCAGACUAGAAGGGAGGUAGACACUGCCAGGAGAGUAUUUUGAUGUGGCCAGAAAAUACAAGACCAAGCCUGCGCAGAGAUGCUACUGCAUUCAGCUGGACUCCACUGAGCAUGGCGGCCCAUCGCUCCACUGGAGGGCUCCAGUGGGAAUAUAGUGGAAAUCUGAAAGGGACCCACACCAUGAGACUGCAGAAUUCGAGCCUCACAGCAGAUCUGCACCACAGGGGCCACAAGCACCCAUGGACCCUGGAGCUGAGACUUCACUUUCCACCCAGAUUCUCAGUGUUUUGUGAAAAGCCAUGCACCAUUAGUGCCAAGGUUAAUGUAUCUCCUGGCCUCAAGAUUUCCCGUAUCCACAGCUAUAAUUUGUCAAUAUGUAAUUUACAAAAAUGUAAAACAUUGCUACAAAAUAGUCACAACACGACAUGGUUAAUCUUGAUUGACAGCUUGAUUAAAUUAAGACCAAGGAGGUUUUUCUACACACCUUGAGCUUGUCUGUGAAGAUAUUCCCAGGAGGACUAAGAAGGAGACUCUCCCAGAAUGUGGGUGGAGCCGUCACCAUAGGCUGGAGCCCCACUGAAGGGAAGAAAAAUGAAAAUAAGUAAAUAAAUUUUGCGGGUGAGGUGGAAGGAGUGACGGGCAGAUCUGUGCCUCACCCUGCAGGCUCCCCCUUAGCAGUGCUCUAACUCUUGUGGCACAUGACAUUGCUCUGGGAUCAAAUAAUUUGUAUCCUUCUGGGUGAAGGAGCAGCUUCUGGGACAGCACUGAAAGCUGAGUUGUCUUUUGGUCACAUCUGGUAAUGUUGACAAGAUACAGUUUAACAAUAAAGAGGAUAGGAAGAGAUGGUCAGCUCCCUCUUUGUUCCCUGAGGCUCAUGUUAUGAGGUCAGACAAAUGCCAAGCAUCCCUGGAAUGUUCCAUCAUGUCUGGAGGACAAAUAUUUCUCAAAUAUUUCUGUUGUUAAAUAUUGCAAGUUCUUGCUGUUUUAGCUUCUGGAGGCCCCUUGCAUUCUCAUGUAAAUGGAGGUUGUGUUUUGGCUUCUCUAAGCUGCCUUGUGUUGAAUCUGUAGCUCCCUUUGGGUGGCAGUAGCCGCCUCGUGGCAAGUCUUCCUGUCCAUGAAUAUGGGAUGCCUUUCCGUGAAUUUAUUCUUUGGUAACUGUCCUUCAUAGAUUUUAGCAUAGAUUUUUAGCUCUUCUCUCUUUGGUAGGUUCACUCUCAGGUGCUGAGCUCUUUUAGAGGUUGCUGUGUAUGGGAUUGCUUCCUUUCUAAUUUAAAUGUGUCUUCUUGGUCUUUCCUUUUCUCCUCUAUACUCUGCGUAGGACUUGUAGUAAAAUGUUGAGUGUCAAUGGUGAAAUCAUAACAGGAACUUUGAGGUGAAGGUGAUAUAUACCAGAAGGCUUGUGUCUGUCUCUCUUCAGAGAGUUGUAUCAUUUCAUGACGAACACUUAGUGAGCUCUAUAGCCUAUAAGCUAAACACCGCUGUUAACCCCAUUUAACAGGUGAGGAAGCUGAGUCAGACAGAGGCAGUCUGCCCAGUGCCCCAUACACAGCUAAUGGCAGAGCUGGGACCCCACAGCAAGCCAACCUCACAGCCCAGGCAUGACAAGAUAUAACCUACAUUGGGGUGGGUGGAGUGGCCCAGGCACUCCUUGCUGCCCCCUGCCUCCUCUCUCUCUCUCUCUCUCUCUCUCUCUCUCUCUCUCUCUCUCUCUCUCUCUCACUCUCCCUCUCUCUCUCUCUCUCUCUCUCUCUGUGUGUGUGUGUGUGUGUGUGUGUGUGUGUAGAAGAAGUGAAGGUGUUACAGAAUCCAAGCUCUGACCUCAGAGCCCCUCUAGGACAGGGACUCACAUACUCAGCACUCUCCCUGACUCAUGUCCCUUCCUCUCCAAAGGUGGCACUGUGCUAACAGACCCCUUCUGGUAGACCCAAAGCAUUGAGUGCUGCUGUCCUGGGCUCACAGUCAUCCCGUGCUGAUUUCCGUUGUCAAAGUGUCUCUCGUGGCUUGAGUAUGCUGCACGGAAUCCUUUAAAGGCCCAGCUGUGGCUGCACUCAGGUUUCUGUCCAAGAGAUCAUUUAUUUCACUUCCUCUUCUGUUUUCCCACUGGCAUACUGCUGCCCCACAUGUUCCCUGGAGGGAGACUGCCAUCUCUGUUUUGAAAUGGAGAUGAUAAUACCUCUUGAGGGAAGGCAGGAUUACAGCCCCACCUGCUGAGGACUGAGCUGGAUUUCCCGCUAGGCACAGCCUCUUUCCCUACCAUGUUCACAUGUCCAAGCUAAAGAUGGCCUCCUCUAAAAUGAUUAUUUACAAGUUCUCUGCUGAACUAAAGCAAGAUAAUUUGGGGGGUGAGCAAUACUGUUUACCUGAGCUACGCUUUCUGUAUCAUUGGAAGGAAUCACAUAAAAUCACUUGAUAUCUGCUGCUGACUAUACACAAAACCACUGGACACAUGAGAACUUUUCUUUUUUGUUUGUUUGUUUUUGUUUUUCGAGACAGGGUUUCUCUGUGUAGCUCUGUGCCUUUUCUGGAACUCACUCUGUAGGCUAGGCUGGCCUCGAACUCACAGAAAUCCACCUGCCUCUGCCUCCCAAGAUGCUGGGAUUAAAGGUGUGCACCACCACCGCCCGGCCACAAGAGAACUUUUCUAAGGUUUUGGUUGGGGACGACAACUUGUCCUCUGUUGGUGGUGUUGAAACAGUCAUGGGGAGCACGGGUUCUUGCGCCAGGCUGGUCUGCCAUACAGAGCUCAGUCAGGACAUGGAUGCCCACACCAGGGGCCUAGUGAGCAGUGUAGUCAAGCUGAUGGCACUGAACUUGUCCUAUGCUUCCCACUUGAUAGAUGCCCUCCAAGUGGUUGCAUAAGCAAGGUACGAUGGAGUGUUCUAGAACUCCUGGGAAUUGUAGGCUAGGCCAUGGUAGCAGACAAGGAGGCCUGCCACUGGUCUGUACCACUUCUCACCUCUAUACCCUCAGCUCCUUUGUAAACUGAAGCUGAGAGCCAAACUGAGCUAAAUCCCCAUCAAUAUCCCUUUUAAAGAUUGAUUUAUUGAAUGAUUGAUUGAUUGGUUGGUUGAUUGAUUUUGUUUUUUUCCAGACAGGUUUUCUCUGUAUACCCUUGACUGUCCUAGAACUCACUCUGUAGACCAUGCUGACCUCGAACUCAGAGAUCCAUUUGCCUCUGCCUCCAGAGUGCAGGGAUUAAAGGCAUGCACCACUACACCUGGUUAUUUAUUCUUAAAACUGAAACUCACUAUGAUAGCCCUGCCUGGUCUGGAACUCAUUCUUGCCAUGUAGACAAAGUUGGCCUCGAACUCACAGAGAUCUGCCUGCCUCUAUCUCCUGGGUCCUGAGAUUAAAGGCGUGUGUCAUACCCA